rnacentral:lncRNA from 1 species
UUAAAUUAGACUUAUCUUUCUUUUGAUACAUUAAGUUAUCUAUUUUGGUAAGAUAUAUAACUAUAUUUACUUCACUAAUACACACUAAACAACAUAAACAAUAAGAAAGAUUCUAUUUCAAAGACCAUUUGAAAGGCAUUUUGUACGUUUUCUACGAUAACAAGAAUAUAAUACAGUUGAUGCGAAAUACCAAUUGUAGGUCUGGUUGGCAUGUUAAAAGAAAAAAAAAAUUUUCACGGAGUUUUGUAAUCCAAAAAU